rnacentral:lncRNA from 10 species
UCAUCCUUCCUCAGGCCAAAAGAGGGGCAUUCUAUGGCUGUCAGUUUUAAUUUUUUCUUACCCAAGAUCUCCAACCUCUAGAGCCUGGCCAGAGGAACUUGGCUCUCUCAUGCUGAAGAAUUCUUCACGUGGUCCUCCCCACGCCAGCAGCUUCCCCAUCAUGCCCAGGGAACCAUGAAUCCCGCCUGGGAUCCAGGUCUGUGUGCUCCUCCCUGGUCUGCAGGCAAAACCAGCAACCCACCUGCUGCAUCAAGCUGGUCCCAGCCUCUGGCUCCCAUCUCCACCUCACGAGCAGGCGAAAGAAGGUAGAUGUGGAGGAGGGGCUGUGCAGAAACCUCAGAAGGACCCCGUCCCCUGACUCCAUCACCAGCUGAGGGAAUUCUUGACUAGUAGAAGAGACCGACACAUGGACAACUAGCCACUAGUGCACAUGAUGCUGAGUGCAGUCAUGGAGAGAUGAAGAAACUGCUAGAGGAACAUAGAGGCAGGACCCAAGGAGUCUUCACAGAAGAUGUGACACUUGAUCUGGUUAUCAAAGGAUGAGUAAGAAUUCUCCAAGGAGACAAGAGGCAUGAGAAUCUUCUAGCAGAGAGAACAGCUGCAGCCAAUGCAAAAUCAUAUAAACAAGUAUGAGUGAUUUGGUUUGACAGGAAUGUGGAAUACACAGGGCCUGGUGUGGUAGGUGAUGACCAAGCAUCAUGAACAAACAUUUACUGGGCACUGGGCAUGGGGCAGAAGGACCACUAUGCUCUGUCCCUAGGGACAAAAAAAAGUCCCUAAUCACAGCCCUUCCAGAGGGUAGUCAUGUUGGAAAGAGUACUCAGUGUUUUACUGGAUUCCUAAAAGGAUCAUUGGGUUAUUUUAGCAAAGUUCCCAUUUCCUUCAUGAAGCUAUUCUAAAAUCAGAGAGAUUUUACUAGCAUUUGAGCAAAGAAAGAUCCUGGACUCUCCUUCCCCAACCCUUGAACUGAGGCUGUGCUAGUACUGCACAUGUUUACCCUCAGAUACAUUCUUCACCCUUUCUUUGCUCUAUUCUGUGUUAUGGUGAGGACAGGGGAAACUGGGCCAUGCAAGUUGCAUCUCCCAGAUUUCUGGCUGGAUUCAGCCAGUGGGAGGUACUUUCAGAGGACUAGAGGUGAGGAGGAAUGGAGAAGUCAGGAUAUUUCUCCCUCUCCCUCUUUGUUUCAACUACUGCCUCUUCAGCAGCUGUGACUCCUCCAUGUCCCACUAGACACAUCUACCCUGGUUCAAGUUCACACUGAACACUUCCGCCAUGGUCCCAGUUUCCACCUAAUGACCUCAACCUCUGGGCUCUGGUAACAUCUCACCCUCCCUUUGUCUCCCCAACCUAAGGUGGUAGUGUCUUCCAAGGGUUGCUGAUUUCUGCAUUCCCAUACAGUUUCCUGUUUGGCUUCCCAACUCUUCUAUUACUAGUUUCUUGUAUUAAAUUCUCACUGUUAUAAAUACUUAAAGUGAUCUCUGUCUUCUGAUUUGUACCCUGACUAACAUAGAGACUGCAUUUUAGUGGUCUUUGAGUCUCCCACAGCACCUAAUACAGUGAUUUUAUGUGCUAAUUUGUUAGAUGAAUGGAUGGGCAGAUGGGUGGAUGGAUGGAUGGAUGGAUAAACAGAUGGUUAAUUAAAUAGAUGAGCAGUGGUAUGAUUGGAUGGAUGAGAGUUGAAUGGAUGUUCAUAAUUUAAUGAGGAUGUUUUAAUUUCAUAAGUAUAAAGGAGUAAAUUCUAAAAGAAC